AGGGCACCACCAGGAGUGGAGCCUGCGGCUUAAUUUGACUCAGCACGGGAAAACUUACCUGGUCCUGACACUAGAAGGAUUGACAGAUUGAUAGCUCUUUCUUGAUUUGGUGGAUGGUGGUGCAUGGCCGUUCUUAGUUGGUGGAGUGAUUUGUCUGGUUAAUUCCGAUAACGAACGAGACUCUAGCCUAUUAAAUAACACACAGAAUCUUGUCUUCUGUGGCGUUUCUUAAUGGGAUCAAGUGUGUUUAACGCUUUGAAGCAGAGCAAUAACAGGUCUGUGAUGCCCUUAGAUGUUCGGGGCCGCACGCGCGCUACAUUGAGAGACAAAAUGAGUUUUCUAGUCUUUAAUAAGGCUAGUAAUCUUUGAAUGUUUUCCUUAAUGGGGAUAGGGGAUUGCAAUUGUGCCCCUUGAACGAGGAAUUCCCAGUAAGUGCUAGUCAUUAGCUAGUACUGAUUACGUCCCUGCCCUUUGUACACACCGCCCGUCGCUACUACCGAUUGAAUGGUUUAGUGAGAU
rnacentral:rRNA from 1 species